rnacentral:rRNA from 1 species
AUGAACGCUAGCUACAGGCUUAACACAUGCAAGUCGAGGGGCAGCAUGGUCUUAGCUUGCUAAGGCCGAUGGCGACCGGCGCACGGGUGAGUAACACGUAUCCAACCUGCCGUCUACUCUUGGACAGCCUUCUGAAAGGAAGAUUAAUACAAGAUGGCAUCAUGAGUCCGCAUGUUCACAUGAUUAAAGGUAUUCCGGUAGACGAUGGGGAUGCGUUCCAUUAGAUAGUAGGCGGGGUAACGGCCCACCUAGUCUUCGAUGGAUAGGGGUUCUGAGAGGAAGGUCCCCCACAUUGGAACUGAGACACGGUCCAAACUCCUACGGGAGGCAGCAGUGAGGAAUAUUGGUCAAUGGGCGAGAGCCUGAACCAGCCAAGUAGCGUGAAGGAUGACUGCCCUAUGGGUUGUAAACUUCUUUUAUAAAGGAAUAAAGUCGGGUAUGGAUACCCGUUUGCAUGUACUUUAUGAAUAAGGAUCGGCUAACUCCGUGCCAGCAGCCGCGGUAAUACGGAGGAUCCGAGCGUUAUCCGGAUUUAUUGGGUUUAAAGGGAGCGUAGAUGGAUGUUUAAGUCAGUUGUGAAAGUUUGCGGCUCAACCGUAAAAUUGCAGUUGAUACUGGAUAUCUUGAGUGCAGUUGAGGCAGGCGGAAUUCGUGGUGUAGCGGUGAAAUGCUUAGAUAUCACGAAGAACUCCGAUUGCGAAGGCAGCCUGCUAAGCUGCAACUGACAUUGAGGCUCGAAAGUGUGGGUAUCAAACAGGAUUAGAUACCCUGGUAGUCCACACGGUAAACGAUGAAUACUCGCUGUUUGCGAUAUACUGCAAGCGGCCAAGCGAAAGCGUUAAGUAUUCCACCUGGGGAGUACGCCGGCAACGGUGAAACUCAAAGGAAUUGACGGGGGCCCGCACAAGCAGUGGAGUAUGUGGUUUAAUUCGAAGCAACGCGAAGAACCUUACCAGGUCUUGACAUCCUUUGACCACUCUAGAGAUAGAGCUUCCCCUUCGGGGGCAAAGUGACAGGUGGUGCAUGGUUGUCGUCAGCUCGUGCCGUGAGGUGUCGGCUUAAGUGCCAUAACGAGCGCAACCCUUGUUGUCAGUUACUAACAGGUUCCGCUGAGGACUCUGACAAGACUGCCAUCGUAAGAUGUGAGGAAGGUGGGGAUGACGUCAAAUCAGCACGGCCCUUACGUCCGGGGCUACACACGUGUUACAAUGGGGGGUACAGAGGGCCGCUACCACGCGAGUGGAUGCCAAUCCCCAAAACCUCUCUCAGUUCGGACUGGAGUCUGCAACCCGACUCCACGAAGCUGGAUUCGCUAGUAAUCGCGCAUCAGCCACGGCGCGGUGAAUACGUUCCCGGGCCUUGUACACACCGCCCGUCAAGCCAUGGGAGCCGGGGGUACCUGAAGUGCGUAACCGCGAGGAGCGCCCUAGGGUAAAACUGGUGACUGGGGCU